UUUCGCAAUGCCCGAAAGGGUGACGAAGCGACGCCGCGUGUGGGAAGAAGGCCUUCGGGUUGUAAACCACUGUCGGGAGUUAAGAAAUGUAAGGGUGUUAAUAGUAUCCUUACUUGACUAAGGCUCCGGAGGAAGCCACGGCUAACUCUGUGCCAGCAGCCGCGGUAAUACAGAGGCGGCAAGCGUUGUUCGGAAUUAUUGGGCGUAAAGAGCACGUAGGCGGUUGAGAAAGUCUGGUGUGAAAUCCCUCGGCUCAACCGGGGAACUGCACCAGAAACUUCUUAGCUAGAGUACAGGAGGGGAGAGUGGAAUUCCUGGUGGAGCGGUGAAAUGCGUAGAUAUCAGGAGGAACGCCGGUGGCGAAAGCGACUCUCUGGCCUGUUACUGACGCUGAGGUGCGAAAGCUAGGGGAGCGAACGGGAUUAGAUACCCCGGUAGUCCUAGCCCUAAACGAUGGGCACUAAGUAGAGGGGUUUUA
rnacentral:rRNA from 1 species